ACCGUUGAUUCGCACAAUUG
rnacentral:snRNA from 1 species